rnacentral:rRNA from 1 species
AACGAACGCUGGCGGCAGGCCUAACACAUGCAAGUCGAACGAACUCUUCGGAGUUAGGGGCGGACGGGGGAGUAACACGUGGGAACGUGCCGUUAGGUUCGGAAUCAUUCAGGGAAACUUGAGCUAAGACAGAAGGGGCCCUUCGCGGGAAGGAGCUAUGGCCGUUAGCCCGGCAUGCGUCUGUUUAGCUAGUUGGUGAGGUAAAGGCUCACCAAGGGGACGAUCAGUAGCUGGUCUGAGAGGAUGCUCAACCACAGUGGGCCUGAGACACGGGCCAAAGGCCUACGCGAGGCAGCAGAGGGGAGUCUUGCGCAAUGGGCGAAAGCCUAGCGCAGCCAUGCCGCGUGAAUGGUGUAGCUCUUAGGAUAGUAGAAUUCUUUCACACGAGACGAUAAUGACGGUAACCGGAAAAGAAGCCCCGGCUAACUUCGUG